UUAUUAGCCUUUUGUUUAAUUAUACAAAUUGUUACUGGUGUAACAUUAGCGAUUAAUGGGUUGCUAUAAAAUCUUACUAUAUGCUGGGACACCCUUAUAUACUUCGUUAGUCAACGUCAAGUAUGCAAUAAUAGGAUUAUCAGCAGGAAACCCAUUUUAUAAAAAAGGGGAUCCUCAGAGACUAAACGUAAGACACAUAUAUUAUAUAUGUGAAGAUAUAGUCCACACAUUUUGAAAGAAAUUA
rnacentral:ncRNA from 1 species